GUGUGGCAGAGGGAAGCAGCUCACAUCAUGAUCAGUGUGUGCCACCACGCCAGGCAAAGAUGGAGAUGGGACCUGGUGACCCUGGGCAGCAGCCUUUCCUUGAGACAUCUCCCCCACCAGCAAGACCUCAACUUCCUCAACUUUUAACUCCUUGACACACAGGAGGUGAGAAGGAGACCUGGCCUGAUCAACUGAGAAAAGCUGUGUUCCUGUCAAAAGGCACUCAACCCAGAGGGCCUGUCCCACCACAA